AAGGAACACAGCUCAACGACACCUGGACGCUGAACGUGCAGCCGUCAUUGGUCGUACACGUGGCACCUUUCAACGGCCAAAAGUGGGGUUUCACAACCCUGUUAAAUUGUGUUGUCUAACGCUAUUAUUAGCCAGAGUGGCCGUUUCUUCGUUAAGAUUCUCAAGUCUCUGCUUCUCUUUUUAAGGCCCCGAAGUCUAAAGUUUCCAAGCAGCAGCAGGGGUUAUCAAAAAGUUCGCCAGUAGAAGCAAAAAAAAAAAAAAAGAAGCUAGAAUUUUAGGUUGAAGAUAGAAUGGAUAUGUUAAGAGUUCAGUUUGCAGUAAUGGCCAUUUUCGCAUUUAUAUUGGCCCUGCUUAUACCUUCCAUCAACGCUCAAAGCCCCGCUCCUGCACCUCCUCCUACAAGCGAUGGGGUAGCAGUUGAUCAGGGGAUUGCUUAUGUUUUAAUGCUGGUAGCUCUGGUGCUCACAUAUAUCAUUCAUUGACAUCAUGCCAAUAUAUGAAUAUGUCGUGAUUGAGCCAUGAAUUAUAUGAAAUUAAUGUGUUAUAGGUCUUGUACUAAUUCUUUUCUCUCCAGAAUUUCGCUUUCUUGUUCAGUUGCUAGCUUGUAAUUUUUCUGUUUCUUUGCAAUUGCAAAUAUUUUUUUUUCUUCAGUAUUUCCUUCAAAAGAGCAUGAAUAAUGACAAAGGCAAACGGUUUCCUCCGCUCCAA